GACGAACGCUGGCGGCGUGCUUAACACAUGCAAGUCGAACGGUAAGGCCCUUCGGGGUACACGAGUGGCGAACGGGUGAGUAACACGUGAGUAACCUGCCCUUGACUCUGGGAUAACUGCGGGAAACUGUAGCUAAUACCGGAUACGACCCUCGGCGGCAUCGCCAGGGGGUGGAAAGAAUUUCGGUCAAGGAUGGACUCGCGGCCUAUCAGCUAGUUGGUGAGGUAACGGCUCGCCAAGGCGACGACGGGCAGCCGGCCUGAGAGGGUGACCGGCCACACUGAGACUGAGACACGGCCCAGACUCCUACGGGAGGCAGCAGUGGGGAAUAUUGCACAAUGGGCGCAAGCCUGAUGCAGCAACGCCGCGUGAGGGAUGACGGCCUUCGGGUUGUAAACCUCUUUUAGUAGGGAAGAAGCGAAAGUGACGGUACCUGCAGAAAAAGCACCGGCUAACUACGUGCCAGCCGCCGCGGUAA
rnacentral:rRNA from 1 species